CUGGAGUUGCAGUCCCGCGUGGCUGAGGGGCCGGGCCGCGGGGCCGCCGGGGAGUUACACCAGUGCGUGGCUGAGGCACGGAAGACAGAGAUGAUUCCGGGGUGGCUCCUUUGAACCGCUGCCUACUGGGCUUCAGCAGAGAGAAGUAACAGACCCACCCUAGAGGAGCAGCACUCACCUUUAGGUGAGCAAGGAGACAUGUGCCAGAAGAGCACCAUCCCUGCCUCACCUGAGAGCAGACCUGUGCCAGAGGAGCAGUGUCUGACCCUACAUGAGCAAGCACACCUGCUCCAGAGGAGUGGCUCUCACCAGCAGGGGAGCAAGAAGUCCUGUAUUGGUCAAGCAGCACCCCUCCCUGGGGGAGCAUGUCACAAGGAAUCAGGAGGCAAGGAACAACCAACCAACCUGAUCCUGGACAGCACAAUACCAGAGAGAGAAGGGAACCACCAGAUUCUCUGACAAAGGACAUUAAAUCUAACAGCCCACAUGAACCCCUGGCCUGUGGCCUAUACCUGGCAGAGACAAGUGGGCUGAAAACUAGUAUGGAGAUUCCUCACAAAACUGAAACUAGAAAUUCUACUUGAUCCAGCUAUUCCCCUUCCAAAUAUCUUCACAAAAGAGUUAAAGACAUUACAGUGAUCCAUGCAGACCCAUGUAUAUAGCAACACAAUUCAUAAUAGCUAAACAUUGGAAGCAGCCCAUAUGUCCAUCAACAGAAGAAUAGAUAAAUUAAGUGUGGUUUUUAAACACAAUUGAGUACUACUCUACCAUAAGGAAUGAUAAACUUGAGUCAUUUGUAAAAAGAAAUUAAAGCAUCUUGAGACCAUAAUGUUCAGUGAAAUAAAUCAGACACAUAAGCUUAAAUAUCACAUGGAGGUUUUUUUUGUAUGAGAAACCCAAAGUAUAGAUAAAGAGCAAAAUAAAGAUAGAUGAUAGGAAGAAGAGGGAUAAAUCUUUCUAAACAGGGAAAAGAUCAAAAGGUGGAGAGGGUGGGGGUGGGAGGAGAGGGAAAGGGGAUGAUACAAAGGAAGUGUAAGAUGUGUUAUGUACCCGUACCAAUUGCUCCCCAGGUCUGUAAACUUUAUGUAUUACCAACAUGUACUAAUGAAAAUAAAUAAUAAACCAAAGGUAAAUACAAACCUUGAGACCCAUUCUGGAAAGAGCAGGCUGAUGUGGGUGAGAGAACAGAGAUGGAAAGAAAAAAAACUAACCAAAGGCUUAGAUUGUGAAGAUGCUUAUUUUUUCUGCUAUUUUGUGGAUGGAAAAGUUUUCUGGUGCCCUCUUGAGUUAUUGUCUCUAAUUGAUUACUUCCAGAAACAUAUGAUUUAAUUUUUAUUUAUUAUAAUAGUAAAACAUAAAGCCACAAAAAGCCAAAAGUAACAAGAAUGUCAAAAGUGUCUCCAUAUCACCUCCAGGUGUUGUCAUAUUCCCAUCCUCCCCCUCUGUGAUUCUCUUGCUUUGCUUUGUUUUGUUGCUUAGUUUGGCAAAUGCAAGACUAAGGCAUGAAGCACCACCCUCAACUCCAUCCUCCAGGUGUUUCUUAAGCAUCCGCAUAUUGGGGAAGACCUGGUCGCAGCCCAUGCACCUAAAGCCACUGUACAGGUCCUCCAGCCCUGAAUCCCAGGCCAGAUUCUCAGCCUCUUCCCUUUCCUCUUGGCCUUCCCCGUGCAGGCCAUUUUCACUGUCAGUUAGGACGUCUCUUAGGCACACAGAAGAGAGGCUGGCUUUUGAAGGGAUCUUCUCAGGAAAGGUCAUUCUUGCUAUUCUUGUCAUCUUUGCGGGGGGCUCCAAAUCAUCUUCUGUAUCCCCCAAGGAAGCCGUACCCCUUUUCAUUGGGACAGGCUUAUAGUAGACAUUCAGGACUCUUUUCUUUUCAGUAGAUGUUGCAGACUCUAAGGGGUUAUUGGCCAAGGAGGAAGGUAAAUGAGAAUGUGCCAUGGAGGAGAAAGUCUCCUUCUCCAUCAAAUCUUGAUUUAAAAGCCUCUUGCAGGAUUCAGGACCUGGAACAUAUUGAGGUAGUAUGUUGGUAUUUGGAAAAGAAAGCUUAUCAAAAAUAAUGAGAUAAGAUGGCCAUGAAAAUGUCCUGGGGUGGGGUCAUAUUUUGUGUGUGGUUUGUGUCAUGUAAUGUACAUACUUUGUAAUCCUAUGUGAAAAAUGAGUUGUGUAAGGCAACUACUAUAAAUUAUAUAUGUACAUACACACCCGUAUAUAGACAUGUAUGUGUAUGUGUGUAUACAUAUACAGAGUCUGCCAAAAAAUGUAUACACACUUCAGGAAAAGAAAAAUAGUAUGUUUUUCAAGUACCCAAAUAUGGGGCACCAUUGAGGAUGCUGUAGAUUUCAGGAAAUCCACUACAUUGUCAGCUCUUAGGGAAGAAAUUGAAAACAAGUAUGUAGCAAUCUCAAUGACCAAGGUCACCCAAGCAGCAGUUCACCGCUAAUGGGCUCAACUUUGAGCACCUCUUGUAAUUGUAGUGCCCAAAGAUAACUUGCAUUAAUCUCAUUAUAUCUCAAUAAAUGCAGUAUUAAAAUAUUUAUACAAGUUUUUCUUUUCCUGAAGUGUGUAUACAUUUUUGGGGCGGAAUCUGUGCAUGUAUGUAUACGUACAUAUAUUCUGGUAUACCUUUGGUGACUGUCUGGUACUGGCAAAAGCAGAUAGUGAUGUGUCUGUGUGUGUGUGUGUGUGUGUGUGUGUGUGUGUGUGUGUGUGUCUGAUACUGUGUGAGAUAGCACAUGUGAUUUCACUGUGAAUAUUGGUAGAUGGUGUGACAAUAGCCUUACAUGUUGGAGGAAGUGUUUAUGACCUCAGCACAUGCAGCUCUGUGAAGGGCUGAAGGCGAGGUGGAAGAAGUGACUUUUGUGUGAGAACAUAUACAUAUUAGAAGGGCACAAGAGUUUUCUAGUAUUUUGUCUACUAGUAGCAUUAUGAAAUUAAAACAGGUUAUCCAUGUGAGGUAAUAGUUUAUCUGUGUGAGGUGAUAUGAAGUUAUUUACAGGAUUAAGGUGUAAAAUGGUGGGUGAGUCUGAGAAUGACUUCUGGAAUGUGAGCAUAAGGCUGUACCUAUGUAACACUGAUACUGGGAAAAUAGGGAGAGAGGAGAUAUUUAUGAGAAAGAUAAAAAGGAGGAGAAAUGGUCUGUAUUUAGUACAAAGGAGUGUGACAUGUGAGUGUGAGGUGAGUUUAUACAGUGAUCUGAGGGGGAAGACUCUGCUUCCACCUCCUGCACAUCACAUAGGCCACUGCCUCACCCACAGUGGCCGCAGUGUUCACAUGAAAAUGUGUGCUGAGGAACUCUGUCCUCCUCUAGAAGGCAGAUUUCCUAUCUGCCCCUCCUCAGAGGAGUCAGUGUUCAUCCCUCUUCCCUGAAGACCUUUCGUGUAUGUAAAGGAAAUGAAUGGGGUUGGGAGGCUGCUCAGCUGCACCUCUUGUCCAAGCUCAGGUCACCUUUGCAUCUGCCUUACCAUCCUUGUCCAUAGGAAUGCACUCACUUGAAGAAGAGACGCACGACAAAUGUUCUGAGACUGAGAAAUUCUCUCCUGCAUCCAGAUUUGAACUUGGGACCAUCUCAUGUGUCUCAGUGGUAUCCUCUGGAGAGUUGUGCAGUUCUGAAGUGGAAGAAAACAGCAGCAACAAAGUUAUUGAUACAUAGCAUAGUCUGGGUCUGUGUCAUUUUAAAACAUAUAUGGAGUAGAUAUUUUGUUUCUGCCAUUGUUACCACCCAUGGUAAUUCCUCACACAAAAUUAAAGAGAACUUAUUAAAAUUAUGUAUGUGGUGGGUAUCACUGGGAUUGGGUAUCUUCUAUAUAUUUUUAGAGAUGUAUACAGGAUAUUGGGAACUCAAAUAUGUUUAAAAUAUGAUAUACAUUCACUAGUGGUUAGAUAUUAUUACUAUUGCUAUUUUUAUUGGCUCAAUUUCCUGGUAAUAAAUUGUGCCAGUGAAAGCUGUGGAGUAUAAGUUUCAUGAGGAAUUGUGAAUGUUGACUCAUUUAUUUUGGUGAAUGUAGAGUCAUAUACAUGGAAGGGUUGAUGUGAAUAUGAAUAAAAGAUGGACCUGCAUGCAAAGAUACAAACUGUUAGAUGGUUCUCUAGGAACUGGGCAUGGCACAGCUAAGCAUUCAAAUGAAGACUUUACAGACUUGAUCCCAAUUCGUCUUUCAGAAAUGUGCUUCCACAUUUCUAUUGGAUCUUUAACCUUCUGAUAUAGGAGGUAGAAUGUGGCAAACUGACUAGAGAAGUGGGAGGGACCUGUAAAUCACAAGACUCCAGGGCAGUGCCAGAUGAUUCCUGGACCCCAUAUGUAGAACUUCCUAUGAGCUCCACAAGAUAUGGACAUCAUGAGGAAGACCAGAAACCGGGAGGAGCUCGCUAUCUUUACUCUUCACAGUAGCCCACCCUGGGUUUCCCAAACCCAGGGUGUAUUUUUAAUUUUUGCUCUUUUUACCUUUUCUUUUUUUUGGCUCAAGUUUGCUCUACAGAGCUAGUUUUUCCCUUACCCCUUCACCCUUCAUUUUUCAAAUAAAUUUUUGGGAGAUAGAAAAAUGAACAUGGUGAGUUUUGGAAACAGAACCUGGGCAGUUUUGGAGAAAAGGGGUCAUUUAUUCAGUUGUUGAACAAACAGGGUCUGCUCCACCUCUGUUCCACCUCAGACCUUUGAGAAUGAACUUGUCUGUAAAAUGGGAGCAGGGUAAUCAAGAGAUUAUACCUGAAAUAGCUGAUUCCAUUCUGCUUACCCUCUGCUAUUCUCCAAAGCCAUCUUGUCCAGCAUCCUCUCCCAGGAAUACUUACUGCGUCUUGAACAGUGAUGUCUUACUUGGGCAGGAACUGCUGCACUUCAGUCCUCUGUGUUUCUACAGGGAUCCUGCCCUCAAGGUGCCUGAUGCCCCUCGAACUUGGUACUGUUUCAUAUUGCUUGCCACCUUCUACAUAUUUCAUACUUUGUCUACAUCUUACUUCCUAGAGAUUCUUAAUCUCAAACAAAUGAUUUGGUAAAUUUUUGUGUUUGAAGAAAUUAAAUAUUCAUGAUCUUCUUAUGUUCCUGUUCCUGUUCAUAAGGCCCAACAAAGUAUAAUCAAUGAAUAAAUUUUUUCUCCAUGUAAUGGAAUAUAGGGAGUAAUGACAAUAUACACUGUAAUCAUAUGCCACAUGGAUAACAUUCAUAAAUAUAAGGAUGAGCAAAAAUGAUCCAGACAAAACGUAUAUAUUUUGCAUUUCUAUUUACACAAAUUUAUCUCCUGACUGGCUCCUGGCUUCUAAGGUCAUCUAGAAAUCAGAGUAAUUAUUACUAUUUGCAUGGUAGGGUCAAAAAGUGAAAGUCUUGAAUUCAUGUGCAUGUGAAAGAUUAUAAGAAAAUGAGAAAAAUAAGAAGCAAUGCAGAUGGGUUUGUGUAGGAACACAUGUGUGAAUAUUGGCUAGGACAAUAAGUGGAUGUGCUGUGUUCUUGGACUGGCUAUCUUUUUAAUGUGUUUUAAGUAAGAUCUUUUGAGGAUCCUAUUAUUCUGGGCUUCUUCUUUCCUGACAGUCUACCGUGCUUUUCCCUAGUUCCUACUGACAUACUGUUCCUAUGUGACUCUGAUCAUGCUCUUAUCCUCCCGGGCACUCUCCUACUAUUUCCUGAGCAGAGCCCAGUUCUCCAAUGAUCCUGGCCUUCCUGAAGUCCUCUCAUGUGUUUUCCCUUUGACAUUUAUUGCUGCCACUGCUGAUUAUUUUCAGUUUCUUUCUGGCUGAGAACCCUUGUAUCAACUGAUGUUCAGAACUAUUCAACUCAAUUCUGAGAUAUUCCUAGACCCUAGCUCCCCUUCUGUACUCCCCGCUUCCAUACCUGCAUCCAAGAAUUUGUCUUCAUAGGAGAAGUCCCCUGAGGUUGAGGAAGAACUAUCCACCACUUUGUGGCCUUGAGUAUGGGCCAGUACCUUGGCUCUAACCUGCAGAACAUCUUGUGAAUCCAACUUUCCUGAGAAAUGAAAUAAAAACGAUACAGUUCUAGUUUGGUGUUUAUGUGUAUCUAUUGUAAAACAUAUAAUGAGUCUACUAUUUACAUGUUCACUGAAUACACUUUACCUCCAUCCUCAAGGGUAAACAAUACGGCUCCUAUUGGUAAAAUUUUAAAUGUAGAGCAGUAUUUAUUUUGUCAGUACUUGUUACAGAUCAUUACAUUUGCACAAAGUUUCAUUGGUGCAGAAACUGCUUGCUUCAACCUUUCAAGUUGGACAGACCACUGUAUUCUAGUUAUUGAGCUACCUUGUAGUUAGCUUUGAUCUUGUGAUUGUAUUUCCUACCAAAGAAAAUGAAAAGUGACAAAUCCUAUUUCUGUGGCCAUAGAAGCCUCUGUCUCUCUCCAUGUACUCUGCUUUUCCAGUCGACUAGGAUGUUGAUAGCCCUGGGUCUCUGUGAAAGAUGUGUUAAUGAUGACGGUAUUUUUCUCAGCCCAUGAAUUAGUCCAUUGAGGGCAAUUGUCCUGUUGACCUGCUCAUCAACAUGCUAGCAGUUGAUUCUAUGUGUAGUAGUUAUUAGAGCUUGGAAUCUUCUAGUGAAGUCAGGUUGUAAGGUGUUUUUGAGAGGCAAAUAAUCAGACUUGGUAUACAGUAAGUGGACAAUUAUGUUAGAUGAUAGUAUUUAUCAUGCUUUGGUUUAUUUUUGUAUUUUGUGUGUGUAUGAGUAAGUAUGGGUAUGUGCUUUGCAUAUUUCAUGGCUUACACUUGACAUGUUUGAAUAUAUACUGAUGUAACUGAAAGUGAAAUAAAGACAAGAACACUCUUCAGGCCCCUCUGUACAAAGGACCAACAGAAAAUAAAGAAAUCUGAAAAUCUAUUGAAGUAUCAGACUGUUCUCAAAAAUGUGAGCCACUCUUUGGAAUGUUGGGUGUGGCUCCAAUCUGUCCCCUCCCACCACUGAAUGAGGGUCCUCCCUCAUAAUAGGUAUUUGUUUACUGUUAAUCUCCAAGGUAACACAACUGUUAGUUUCUAAUUUUUCCAUAAAUAGCCAAAUAUUAUCUCGUAUUUCAUAAUUCAUGGUUAAACGGUACAUGCAUGUUUAUGUGUGUGCAUGUGUAUUUCUUACAUUUCACAAAGAAGUCCUGGAAGAAUGGCUAUUAUUAAGGAAUGAACCAACAACAAAUGUUGGUAGGGCUGUGGGGAAAAAGGAACCCUUUUCCUCUGUUAGUGGGCAUGUAGACUGGCAACCACUGUGGAAAUCGGUGUGGAGAUUCCUCAAACAACUAGGAUUAGAAAAAUAAAACAAAACUAGGAUUAGAGGUCUCAUUUGACCCAGCUAUUCCCUUUCUGGGUAUCUUUGCAAAAGAACUAAAAGCAUCAUACCACAGCCAUAUAUAUGUGCACCUAUGUUUGUGGCGCUAUAGUUUGUAAUACCUAAAUUUUGGAAACAACCAAAAUGCCCAUCAACUGAUGAAUGAAUAAAAAAGAUGGGGCAUUUUUAUAUAAUGGGAUACUACUCAGCCAUAAAGCAGGUUAAACUCAAAACAUUUCUAGGUAAAUGGAUGCACCUUGAGAGCAUACUCUUAAGUGAAAUGGACACAAAGGUAUAAAUAUCACAUUGUCUCUCUAGUGUGAGAAACUGAAAGUGUAAAUAAGGACCAAAAUGUAUUAUAAAUAUUGUGAAAUAGGAAGAAAUUGCACAAAAGAGAAACUAGUGAGGUGGAAGGAGGAAAGGAAGAAAGGGAAAAGAAAAAAUACGAGAAAAGAAAGAUAAAAUGGUAAUAAAGCUUUGUAAGUAAGGAGGGGAAGAAGGGUUGAAGGCAGGGGAGGGGAAUGGGGAAAAAAAUCAAGAUAUAUUAU
rnacentral:lncRNA from 1 species